rnacentral:lncRNA from 1 species
GAAGUAAUCAAAUUCAACCUUAUCAAGCAAUGUCCUUUGGUACUAUUUUGAAAAUAGCACCAAUCAGAAGCUAGGAUACAUGCCGAAUUCCUGUUUUCCAUUUGACUCCAGGAAAGAAAGUUAGACCAUGCCGAGCACGAGGAACUCCAUCUUAAAUGGGGAAACAGCUCUCAUGAUAGUAUACAGAAAUCUCCACUGAAAUGCCUGAAGCACUUUUGUGUUCCUGUCAAUCUCAGAAAGAGCAGGAUGGAAGGAUCCUUUCAGGAGAAACAUUAAUCUAGUUUUCUUCUGGAAAAGUUCAUCAGACAACAGGAAGACCUUGAACAGAGAGGUGAUAACAUGUGAAGGGACCAGCUCCCCAUUUUGGCAGCCAUAACAGCUGAACACAUGCUCAUCU